rnacentral:rRNA from 1 species
AUGCACGCUGGCGGCGUGCCUCAUACAUGCCAGUCGCGCGAACAGACGAGGAGCUUGCUCCUCUGACGUUAGCGGCGGACGGGUGAGUAACACGUGGAUAACCUACCUAUAAGACUGGGAUAACUUCGGGAAACCGGAGCUAAUACCGGAUAAUAUAUUGAACCGCAUGGUUCAAUAGUGAAGGACGGUUUUGCUGUCACUUAUAGAUGGAUCCGCGCCGCAUUAGCUAGUUGGUAAGGUAACGGCUUACCAAGGCAACGAUGCGUAGCCGACCUGAGAGGGUGAUCGGCCACACUGGAACUGAGACACGGUCCAGACUCCUACGGGAGGCAGCAGUAGGGAAUCUUCCGCAAUGGGCGAAAGCUUGACGGAGCAACGCCGCGUGAGUGAUGAAGGUCUUCGGAUCGUAAAACUCUGUUAUUAGGGAAGAACAAAUGUGUAAGUAACUAUGCACGUCUUGACGGUACCUAAUCAGAAAGCCACGGCUAACUACGU